AAUGAAAGCAGGAAAGAACAGUUCGUCGUCGAAUCGGCUGGCCAGCAAAUUCUUGUAGAGCAGUUUCCCAUAGCAUGGGAAAGAACUUAAGUCCACAAAGGACGUGGUGUGAGAUGUUAGUCCGGUGGAGUUCCUGUACGCGAAACCCCGAUCACUUUGGCCUCCCGUAGAAAAGGAAAACAUCUCGAUUGCGGUACGCCGAAAAUGAUGGAAAAGGUAUUCAAGAGCGGCAAGAAAUCAAGCAAAAUCGACAUAAGUUCGAAAUUAUGUUGCAGAGGAAUCCACAGAUCAUGAUGGGAGUUUGUCGACGCUGAAGAAAAGCCACCUCUCUAAUAAAAAUGUGUCCAUCAAAUUUA